rnacentral:rRNA from 1 species
GGGUUGUGAGGUUAAGCGACUAAGCGUACACGGUGGAUGCCCUGGCAGUCAGAGGCGAUGAAGGACGUGCUAAUCUGCGAAAAGCGUCGGUAAGGUGAUAUGAACCGUUACAGCCGGCGAUGUCCGAAUGGGGAAACCCAGUGCAAUUCGUUGCACUAUCGUUAACUGAAUACAUAGGUUAACGAGGCGAACCGGGGGAACUGAAACAUCUAAGUACCCCGAGGAAAAGAAAUCAACCGAGAUUCCCCCAGUAGCGGCGAGCGAACGGGGAGCAGCCCAGAGUCUGAAUCAGCUUGUGUGUUAGUGGAACGGUCUGGAAAGUCCGACGGUACAGGGUGAUAGUCCCGUACACCAAAAUGCACAGGCUGUGAACUCGAAGAGUAGGGCGGGACACGUGGUAUCCUGUCUGAAUAUGGGGGGACCAUCCUCCAAGGCUAAAUACUCCUGACUGACCGAUAGUGAACCAGUACCGUGAGGGAAAGGCGAAAAGAACCCCGGCGAGGGGAGUGAAAAAGAACCUGAAACCGUGUACGUACAAGCAGUGGGAGCACCUUCGGGUGUGACUGCGUACCUUUUGUAUAAUGGGUCAGCGACUUAUAUUCUGUAGCAAGGUUAACCGUAUAGGGGAGCCGCAGGGAAACCGAGUCUUAACUGGGCGUUAAGUUGCAGGGUAUAGACCCGAAACCCGGUGAUCUAGCCAUGGGCAGGUUGAAGGUUGGGUAACACUAACUGGAGGACCGAACCGACUAAUGUUGAAAAAUUAGCGGAUGACUUGUGGCUGGGGGUGAAAGGCCAAUCAAACCGGGAGAUAGCUGGUUCUCCCCGAAAGCUAUUUAGGUAGCGCCUCGUGAAUUCAUCUUCGGGGGUAGAGCACUGUUUCGGCUAGGGGGUCAUCCCGACUUACCAACCCGAUGCAAACUACGAAUACCGAAGAAUGUUAUCACGGGAGACACACGGCGGGUGCUAACGUCCGUCGUGAAGAGGGAAACAACCCAGACCGCCAGCUAAGGUCCCAAAGUCACAGUUAAGUGGGAAACGAUGUGGGAAGGCACAGACAGCCAGGAUGUUGGCUUAGAAGCAGCCAUCAUUUAAAGAAAGCGUAAUAGCUCACUGGUCGAGUCGGCCUGCGCGGAAGAUGUAACGGGGCUAAACUGUGCACCGAAGCUGCGGCAGCGACACUAUGUGUUGUUGGGUAGGGGAGCGUUCUGUAAGCCUGCGAAGGUGGCCUGUGAGGGUUGCUGGAGGUAUCAGAAGUGCGAAUGCUGACAUAAGUAACGAUAAUGCGGGUGAAAAGCCCGCACGCCGGAAGACCAAGGGUUCCUGUCCAACGUUAAUCGGGGCAGGGUGAGUCGACCCCUAAGGCGAGGCCGAAAGGCGUAGUCGAUGGGAAACAGGUUAAUAUUCCUGUACUUGGUGUUACUGCGAAGGGGGGACGGAGAAGGCUAUGUUAGCCGGGCGACGGUUGUCCCGGUUUAAGCAUGUAGGCGGAGGUUCCAGGUAAAUCCGGUACCUUUUUAACGCUGAGGUGUGAUGACGAGGCACUACGGUGCUGAAGUAACAAAUGCCCUGCUUCCAGGAAAAGCCUCUAAGCAUCAGGUAACAUUGAAUCGUACCCCAAACCGACACAGGUGGUCAGGUAGAGAAUACCAAGGCGCUUGAGAGAACUCGGGUGAAGGAACUAGGCAAAAUGGUGCCGUAACUUCGGGAGAAGGCACGCUGAUAUGUAGGUGAAGCCCCUGCGGGUGGAGCUGAAAUCAGUCGAAGAUACCAGCUGGCUGCAACUGUUUAUUAAAAACACAGCACUGUGCAAACACGAAAGUGGACGUAUACGGUGUGACGCCUGCCCGGUGCCGGAAGGUUAAUUGAUGGGGUUAUCCGUAAGGAGAAGCUCUUGAUCGAAGCCCCGGUAAACGGCGGCCGUAACUAUAACGGUCCUAAGGUAGCGAAAUUCCUUGUCGGGUAAGUUCCGACCUGCACGAAUGGCGUAAUGAUGGCCAGGCUGUCUCCACCCGAGACUCAGUGAAAUUGAACUCGCUGUGAAGAUGCAGUGUACCCGCGGCAAGACGGAAAGACCCCGUGAACCUUUACUAUAGCUUGACACUGAACAUUGAGCCUUGAUGUGUAGGAUAGGUGGGAGGCUUUGAAGCGUGGACGCCAGUCUGCGUGGAGCCAACCUUGAAAUACCACCCUUUAAUGUUUGAUGUUCUAACGUUGGCCCCUUAUCGGGGUUGCGGACAGUGUCUGGUGGGUAGUUUGACUGGGGCGGUCUCCUCCCAAAGAGUAACGGAGGAGCACGAAGGUUAGCUAAUCCUGGUCGGACAUCAGGAGGUUAGUGCAAUGGCAUAAGCUAGCUUGACUGCGAGCGUGACGGCGCGAGCAGGUGCGAAAGCAGGUCAUAGUGAUCCGGUGGUUCUGAAUGGAAGGGCCAUCGCUCAACGGAUAAAAGGUACUCCGGGGAUAACAGGCUGAUACCGCCCAAGAGUUCAUAUCGACGGCGGUGUUUGGCACCUCGAUGUCGGCUCAUCACAUCCUGGGGCUGAAGUAGGUCCCAAGGGUAUGGCUGUUCGCCAUUUAAAGUGGUACGCGAGCUGGGUUUAGAACGUCGUGAGACAGUUCGGUCCCUAUCUGCCGUGGGCGCUGGAGAAUUGAGGGGGGCUGCUCCUAGUACGAGAGGACCGGAGUGGACGCAUCACUGGUGUUCGGGUUGUCAUGCCAAUGGCAUUGCCCGGUAGCUAAAUGCGGAAGAGAUAAGUGCUGAAAGCAUCUAAGCACGAAACUUGCCCCGAGAUGAGUUCUCCCUGACUCCUUGAGAGUCCUGAAGGAACGUUAAAGACGAUGACGUUGAUAGGUCGGGUGUGUAAGCGUAGCGAUACGUUGAGCUAACCGAUACUAAUGAACCGUGAGGCUUAACCUUACAACGCCGAAG